AAUUAAACUUGGAAGAAACUCCUAAUAAUUCUAAUUAAUAGUAGAGUAGAUCUAUCACGAUUUGUGCUUCUUUUUUUUCCAGACGUACAAUUUAAUCCAUGGAAUCUUCUUCCUCCUUUGCGAGUAAUUCACAGUACCGUCCUCGAUGGAAGUACGUUGUGUUUCUAAGUUUUAGAGGCGAAGAUACCCAGAGAAAUUUUACAAGUCACUUGUAUGCGGGUUUGAAAAACAGGGAAAUAUUCACCUUUCUAGAUGAUAAAAGGAUAGGGAAUGGCGAUUCCAUCUCAGAAGAACUCGUGAAAGCUAUAGAAGACUCUCAAGUUGCUGUAAUCGUUUUCUCAAAGAAUUAUGCUACUUCUAGGUGGUGCUUGAAUGAACUAGUGAAGAUCAUGGAAUGCAAGGAGAAAGAAAAUGGACAAACAGUCAUACCGAUCUUCUAUGAUGUGGAUCCAUCAGAUGUUCGAAAACAAAGUGGGAGCUUCACAGAAGCAUUUUGUAGACAUGAAUUAGAGUAUAUGGAUGAUGUUGAGGGGAUGCAGAAGGUGAAAGGAUGGAGAACUGCCCUAACUGCUGCCGCAGAUCUAAAAUGAUUUGAUAUCCGUGGCAGGAUUGAAUCAAAGCAAAUUCAGCAGAUCGUCGACCACAUCUCUUCUAAAUUUUGCAAGAGUGUUCAUUCUUUAUCUUUUUUCGCAAGAUGUAGUGGGAACAAAUUCUCAUUUAGAGAAACUAAAAUCUUGACUUCAAAUAGAAAUCAAUGAUGUUCGGAUUGUAGGGAUCUGGGGAAUAGGUGGAGUCGGUAAAACGACAAUAGCAAAAGCCAUCUUUGAUACUCUAUCUUAUCAAUUUAAAGUUGCUUGUUUUCUUGCGGAUGUUAAAGAAAAUGCAAGAAAUAAUCAACUGCAUUCUUUAAUUACAAAAUACCCUUCUUUCUCAACUGUUAAGAAAAAAAGAAGAUUACAUCAAUAAUAAGUAUGAUGGGAAGUGCAUGAUUUUGGGCAGACUUUGUUCUAUGAAGGUGCUGAUUCUGCUUGAUGACAUAGAUCAUGGUGAUCAUUUGGAGUAUUUAGCAGGUGAUCUUGGUUGGUUUGGUAAUGGCAACAGAGUUAUUGUAACAACUAGAAAUAGACAUUUGAUAGAUAAGGAUCAUGCAAUAUAUGAAUUGCCUACACUACCUGAUCAUGAAGCUAUGCAAUUGUUCAAUAAGCAUGCUUUUAAAAAUGAAGUUCCAGAUGAGCGUUUUAAGAAGUUCUCAUUAGAGGUAGUAAAUCACGCUAAAGGCCUUCCUUUAGCCCUCAAGGUAUGGGGUUCUUUGUUGUAUAAAAAAUGCCUAACUCAAUGGACAAGCACGGUAGAUCAAAUAAAGAAAAAUUCUAGUUUAGAAAUUGUUAAAAAGUUCAAAGUAAGUUAUGAUGGGUUAGAGCUUGAAGAGCAAAAUUUAUUUUUAUAUAUAGCAUUUCUCUUAAGAGGGAAGAAAAAAAACUAGUCAUGCAAAUCCUUGAGAGUUGUGAUUUUGGAGCGGAGCACGGAUUGAAUGUCCUAAUUGACAAAUCUCUUGUGUUCGUCUCCAAAAAUAAUAUGAUUAAAAUACAUGACUUAAUUCAAGAUAUGGGUAGAUAUGUGGUUAGAAUGCAAAAAGAUUCAGGAGAGCAGAGCAGACUAUGGGAUGUUGAAGAUAUCGAAAAAGUGAUGGUCAACAAUACUGUAAGUAGCCUAAACAAUGCAAUACUAUUCAAUUUUUAGUCUUCAUCUUUUACUUUUUAUUUAAAAGAUGAAAAUAGUUGGUACUAUCUCAAUUACAACUUCGUUCUAUCACAACAUGAAUAACUUUUCGAUUUGACUCUAAAGAACUUGUCAAAAAUUGUAUUACUUGAAAUUAGAAAUACAAAAUUAAUUGCAUAAAGUAUUUCUCUUUAGCGACAUCUUUCUUUAACUAAUAUUGAACCUUAAAUUUGAUUCAAUGAGAGUGAGAUAUUUUGGAUUUAUUUCUAAUGCGUUAAGGAUAUUUUUGACCUUUUACGUUUCUUAUUACACUUUUAUUUAGUUUCUCAACAUGUAAUUUUGAUUUAAAAUAAAUUAAAACAAUUGAUAAUUUCACACAAAAUAUCGUGUUAGACUCUCAUAAUCUGAAUGGUGUUACUCAUUUUUCGUGUAAGGGAAGAAAUUAAACACAAAAGUUAUUUGUUUAUCCUAGACAGCAUUCUCAUUCUUUCUGUGUUCUGACUAACAGUAUUUGCCGUCUCUGCAAAAGCUAAAUCUCAGCUACUCCGAAAGGCUGAUGCAAACACCAGAUUUCACGGGAAUGCCAAAUUUGGAGUAUUUGGAUCUGUCGAACUGUAGUAAUCUUGAAGAGGUUCCACGUUCCUUGGGAUGUUUAAGAAAACUCAUUUGGUUAAAUUUGUAUCAUUGUGAAUGUCUUACGAGUUUUCCAUGUGUUAAUGUGGAACCUCUUAGAUUUCUGGAUCUACGAUAUUGCUCUAGUUUAGAAAAAUUUCCAGAAAUCCUCGGAAGAAUGAAGCCAUAGUUAGAGAUCAAGAUGAGCUGCUCUGGACUAAGGGAAAUACCAUCAUCUAUUAUUGAGCAACGCACGCUAAAGAUGAGUUCUAUGCAAAACCUUGUUUGUCUUCCAAGCAGCAUUUGUAAGUUGAAAGGUUUGGUGAAGCUAAAUUUGUGGGCGUGCUCAAAACUUGAAAGUUUGCCAGAAGAGCUAGGUGAGAAAAAUUGGAGAAGCUUGAUGCCAACUUUACUCUAAUCUCACAACCUCCGUCUUCCAUUGUCCAGUUGAACAAGCUAAAAAUGCUGACUUUUGCAAAGAAAAAAUCAGAAGCUAGAGUGUACAUUGUGUUCCCUCGGGUGAAUGAAGGGUUAUUCUCAUUGAAGCAUCUGGAUCUUAGUGUUAAUAGAUGGAGGACUUCCAGAAGACGUUGGAUCCUUAUCCUCUUUGGAAAUGUUGAAUAUCAGUGGUAAUAAUUUUGAGCAUUUUCCUCGAAGCAUGGUCCAACUUGGUGCUCUUCAAUACUUGGACUUAUCAUAUUGCAAGAGGCUCAAAGAGUUGCCAGGUUUCAUGGGGAUGCAAAACUUGGAGACUUUGGAUCUCUCUCACUGCAAUUUAAUAGAUGGAGGACUUGUCAAAGACAUUGGAUGCUUAUCCUCUUUGAAAGUGUUGGAUCUCAGUGGAAAUAAUUUUGAGCAUUUGCCUCAAAGGAUAGCCCAGCUUGGUGCUCUUCAAAACUUGGACUUAUCAGAUUGCAAGAGGCUUACACAGCUUCCAGAAUUUCCACAGCAAUUAGAUACAAUACGUGCAGAUUGGAGUAAUCAUUUGAUUUGUAAUUCGUUGUUUCAGAAUAUCUCAUCAUUGCAGAAUGACAUCUCUGAUUCACAUUCCUUGUCACUAAGAGUGUUUACGAGUUGCGCGAAUAAUAUCCCAAGUUGGUUCCACCAUCAAGGAAUGGAUACAAGGGUAUCGAUCAGUCAAUAUGCCUGAGAAUUGGUAUGUAUCGGAUAACUUCUUGGGAUUUGCUGUAUGUUACUCUGGCAAAUUAAUUGACAUCAGAGCUCAGUUGAUUCCCUUAUGUGUUGAUGGGAAGUUGUCAAUGCCCCAAAAACUUGCCUUAUCUAACCAUUCAGAGUGUCUUCAAGAAUCUAAGAUACAUUUUUUCUUGGUACCUAUUGCCUGCUUGUGAUGCGUCUAAUGCGAAUGGUAAAACACCAAAUGACUAUGAGAUUAUUAGUUUUAUUUUUUUGGAGAAAUGAAGCUUUUUGGACUUCGAUUGUUGUAUAAAGAUGAAUCUGAGCUUCACAUUGGGAUAAGGAGGAGCAGAUAUGAACAUCAUGAAGACACCACCAGUUGCUCUUAUAAGAAACAAAGGUCACAAGAAGUGCCAGUCUCUUCAAAAACACAAGCCCGGGAUUUUAGAUUUAAUGUACGUAUACACCUCAUGAAAUUGUGUUCUCUCAUUAUAUAUAAAUUAUUUCUUCCCCUAUUGGCAGGAGCUCAUCAAUGUGUGUUGUACAUAUCAACAGUUAGUUUGAUUCUCCACCUUGUGUCGAGCCAUCAUUAAUCAGACAUUCUCUGUCUUUGCUGUGUUAUAUUUUCCCAAGAUAGUGACUGAUCCAUGGUGAAGUUGAGGUUCAAAAUUUCUUUUGGACUAGAAUACCUAGCUAGUUUAAUAAUGAAAUGAAUCCACAGUUUUGCUUUUGCUGACCAAUUGCAGAUGAAUGUACUCAAAGCAAGAAACCUUUGCCAAAAGUGGAUGGGUGAAAGAAGGCAUUGGAACUUUUAGCAAGCGGACUAAAGGGAAUCCAAAUGUAGUCUCUAUUGAUGUCUACUGUCAAAUGUACACACACUGUUUGAUUUUUUUAUCAAACAGUUGUGCGACAUAAUAGAGAUUUAGAAUUAGAGUUUGCAAAUGAGAUUAUUUGUUAGUAUUUCCUUUGUUCAAAUUGGUCAAUCGGAAUCUAAACUUCUUUGGCAUUUCUGUGUCAUAUCAUAUUUGAGUGUCAAUACCCUGUCGCUGCCAAAAGUGGCAUACUUCUCAACUUAAUAUGUACCAUCAUUCCUUCAA